UGGGGAAUAUUGGACAAUGGGCGAAAGCCUGAUCCAGCCAUGCCGCGUGUGUGAAGAAGGUCUUCGGAUUGUAAAGCACUUUAAGUUGGGAGGAAGGGCAUUAACCUAAUACGUUAGUGUUUUGACGUUACCGACAGAAUAAGCACCGGCUAACUCUGUGCCAGCAGCCGCGGUAAUACAGAGGGUGCAAGCGUUAAUCGGAAUUACUGGGCGUAAAGCGCGCGUAGGUGGUUUGUUAAGUUGGAUGUGAAAUCCCCGGGCUCAACCUGGGAACUGCAUUCAAAACUGACUGACUAGAGUAUGGUAGAGGGUGGUGGAAUUUCCUGUGUAGCGGUGAAAUGCGUAGAUAUAGGAAGGAACACCAGUGGCGAAGGCGACCACCUGGACUAAUACUGACACUGAGGUGCGAAAGCGUGGGGAGCAGACA
rnacentral:rRNA from 1 species